AUAAACUCUUCAUUUUAACCGCUGUCUUGAUAGUUCUGAGCGGUUACUUGCAGCUAGCAUGUUUUUCUGUCCAUGUUCCUACAUAACUGAAGAGGUGGUUUUGACGAGUGGAUUCAAAUGAGGUAAUUGUAGGCGACGUGGGGAAAUAACUCACAAAAAAACUGCUAUGGUGGCGGUUGUGAGCGGUUUCUUGCAGUUUCCAUAGCUGGUGGUUAUCUCCAUCUUUCUCUGCCCACGUCGUCGAUAACCUCCAUAUACAUUUCCUUCAAAUACCCUUCCUUUUGUAGCAGAUCUGAUAUAUGCACACAGUUGAGCUUUCUUCUAUCCCGAUCUCAAACUUCAGUCAAGCAUUAUUCCAUCGCAAUCUGAUUUCUCCUCAAAUUCCUAUCCCCUUUCUCCAUUCAUCAAAUAUAUGUCUAAGCUCAGCAAAACCACCACAAAUGGCGUUAUCCUGCAGCGGCUUAACCUUCAAGCUUCAUGUUCUAGAGUGGUUAGUUAUUGAUUUAAUUUCCAAUUUCAUGAUCGUGGAAGGAUCGGAUAUGAAACCAGCAGACCUAAAUGGCCAAUUAGGUGCCGGCAAGUUCAGGACCAAGAUACAAUCCAAAAUGGUUUGAAUAAUCCAAAAUUCCUAUUGCUUCAUGGGAUUCACAUAAUUUUCUUGAAAUUGGAGUCUGUGAUAAAUAUUACCUUUUGACGGCCCCAUCGGGGAUUUUUGUGCAAUGUUUAAUCAUCUUAGAGAGGGCCAGAGACAUGACAUGUGGUUGCCUAUUCAGAACAUAAAAAUUUAAAGAUUGCAUCUUGCAGUUAGAGUUAUUGAAGCUGGUGAAAAGGUAUUUGAACAACCGUGUGAUGGUGAUGCACCAAGUGAAUUCCAGAAAAAAGACAGUUCAUGUAAAUCUCUUGAAAAUUCUAAAAAAAUAAAGCAAAUCAUCUAGAACCGAUUAAUGUCGAACGGCAAAGAGAGACUAGCAUAUGGGUUCACUUCCCGGGUGCUGAUGUAGCACAAGUCUGGUUUGGGAGCCUAGAAAGAGGAAGAACCACGUGGUCCAUAAUGAUAGUGAGUAAGUGAAUGGUAGCAUUCAAUCUGAUCCGUUCCUUUAGUUUAUAUGCAACUUGGUACUCUUUUAUGGAGAUAUUGGGAUUACCCGUUUUGACCCAGGUACACAUCCAUAUCAAAUGAUUCAGAAAGAGUCUAUAAACCUUUUAAAUUAUUCUAUUUAAAACAAUCUUGCAAUUAUAUUUAACACACCAACAAAUUAUAGUAGAUUUUUUAAUCCUGGCCCAAAAGUCUUCGUUGACCCGACCUGUUUUCUACUCAUCAAACUAAAUUGGCAGAGUUUUGACCCGAAAGUAACCACCUCUACUAAUCUUUUUAUCUAUUCAUCACUAAAUUUUUGUUGAAAGUGACCCUUUAAUUGAAAUCUGAAUGCAUAUUAAUGAUUAGUUACAGUUGCUCUUUGUAGAGUAUUUACUAAUGGAUUGAUGUCACUCAUGGAAAUGAUUAAUGGUUGAUAGCUCUUAAAAGGUGCAUAUCUAAAUAUAAAUCGAAGGAUAUGGACUCGAUAGACAUGCCGGUUGGUGGAUAUAAAGAUUUGGACUCAUCAAAGAGACUCAAUACUCUUAGUUUUCUUGUGAUGAAGUUCUUGGAACUGAGUAAGAUUAUUAUACAUACUUUUAAGAAGUUAAAAGCUUUUAUAUUAAGUUAUUUUUACUUAGUAAUUUAAUACUUGAAAAAUUUAAUAAAAAAAUAAGAAAUUGGAUUGAUGAUCAAAAUACUAAGUUUUUUUGACAAGAGAAAGGAAGCAGAGGAUAAACUUUCUGUUGCAACAGGGACAAAAGUUGGAAACAGAAAAGGUGGCAUAAAUUAUAGGUGGAAAAGGUGCGGUAAAGCUUUUAACCUUCUUUGUUUUUACACAUGCCUGUUAAAUCGCCGACUUUAUUUGAUGAUACAACUUAUAGGUGGUUGAUGGCAUAAUCAAACCUUUUAUAGGAGGGAGGCGACGUUGGUUAAAGACAACAACAAGAGUAUUCCAGGCUCUAAGAAUAGUUGUUAAUGAUGAACUAAAGAUGCUAGAGUCUUCUUUGUAUGAUUGCUACUGAAGUGUUACACCUGGCGAGAGGCUUGCAGUCAUGUCGACUCACAUUCUAGAGGACAAAAUAAAAAAACAAACAUUUCCCAACAUCAUUAACACCAGUUUAGUUUGGUUGACGAAAACAAAAAUGUUAAUUCUGAAAAUGACGAUGACAAAGAAACAUGUGUCAAACAGGUGAUCCAUGGGGUUGGUGUAGUAAUCCUCACAAAGAGACCCGUUACGCCUUCUAAAGCUGAAGAGAAACUGAAUGUUCGUUGUAGUAGUGCCAAACUCCGGGUAACACAAAGACACCGAAGUAAAAUCAGAGGGUUAGAUUAGGAAUGGAUUAUAAAUCUUUAUGUCUCUCAUUUGGUAGCUUAGAUGAUGCCAUCAAUUUCAGAUGUCAAUUUACAGUUGGUAACUUGGAUGCUUCUAUCCAAAUGCUUUGGGUGGUCUUGUACUUUCAUAUGCAAUUUCAAUAUCUCUAUAUGCACUAGCAGUUAAUGUAGGCAAAGACUUCUGUAUUUACUUUUUACUUUCUACCUUGAAACAUGAAAGUGUUAACGAUUGUCAA